rnacentral:rRNA from 1 species
AGAGUUUGAUCCUGGCUCAGAGUGAACGCUGGCGGUAUGCUUAACACAUGCAAGUCGAACGAGAACGGUAUAUUCUUCGGAAUAUAUGUCAGCUAAGUGGCGCACGGGUGAGUAACACGUAGCUACCUGCCUCAUAGACCGGGAUAACAGUUGGAAACGACUGCUAAUACUGGAUAUACCCUAAGGGGGAAAGAUUUUAUCGCUAUGAGAUGGGGCUGCGGUGUAUCAGUUAGUUGGUGAGGUAAAGGCUCACCAAGACUAUGACGCAUAACUGGUCUGAGAGGAUGGUCAGUCACACUGGAACUGAGACACGGUCCAGACUCCUACGGGAGGCAGCAGUGGGGAAUAUUGCACAAUGGAGGAAACUCUGAUGCAGCAAUACCGCGUGGAGGAAGAAGCAUUUCGGUGUGUAAACUCCUUUUAUAUUCGAAGAUAAUGACGGUAGAAUAUGAAUAAGCACCGGCUAACUCCGUGCCAGCAGCCGCGGUAAUACGGAGGGUGCAAGCGUUACUCGGAAUCACUGGGCGUAAAGAGCGCGUAGGCGGGUUGUUAAGUUGAAAGUGAAAGCCCACAGCUCAACUGUGGGACUGCUUCCAAAACUGGCAACCUAGAAUUUGGGAGAGGUAAGUGGAAUUCCUGGUGUAGGGGUGAAAUCCGUAGAGAUCA